UGUGAAGCUAUAUCCUUCCUCCUCUGCUGUGGGGGAUGUGAAGCUAUAUCCUUCCUCCUCUGCUGUGGGGGAUGUGAAGCUAUAUCCUUCCUCUGCUGUGAGGGAUGUGAACCUAUAUCCUUCGUCCUUUCACGUACUCUCUGUCUCCCGGGUCGGCUGUAUAGAUUUUAGAGUAUAGUAGGUGGGAACUGUCCCUUGUUAUGGAAAUCUGUUUGCUUAGUUUUCGUAGCUGGCUAGAUGUUUUGUACGUAGACCUUGGAAAGAGGAUGUUGUGUACGCAGGGUAAUGCUACUACUAUACUAUAGGUGUUUUUAAAGACUGUUUUGCGAAAUAUUUAAAAUUCACGAUUUUUUUGGGGAGGUUUUACACCAACUUUAAAAAGAGACGUUUCUGGUCCUUUUACACACUUAGGAAAUUGUGUUUUUUAAGCUUUAAAAUAAUUCCUCCAAACCCAUGUAAUCUCUCCAGCCAGAGCCCAGUCGUUUUGAAUAAAGGCAUCGAACCACUCUUUAACCGAAAGCAUUCAAAGCGGAUAUUUAAGGACUCUUGUUCAAAAGGAAAGCUGAAGCGUUAACUGAUUCCACGAUAGAAAUGUAAAGGUCAUUUUGAGCCAACAUAUGAACUUCCGCGAUACAGAUUGAAUAGAUUGAAUAGAUUGUAAACCUUUAAAAAAAAAGCCCAUCCGUCUCACUGGCUUGACAUGAGCUCUUUAUAACGGCCUCUCUGCCACCUAGUGAGGAAAGAUGGUAUUACACACAGAGCCUCUGCAGAGAGCAGGGAAAUGAGGUGCCACUUGUUUGGCUCUGGAGAGAGACAGGGUGAGGAGGAUAGAUAAACUGAUGGAAUAGAUAGAUAGAUAGAUAGAUAGAUAGAUAGAUAGAUAGAUAGAUAGAUAGAUAGAUAGAUAGAUAGAUAGAUAGAUAGAUAGAUAGAUAGAUAGAUAGAUAGAUAGAUAGAUAGAUAGAUAGAUAGAUAGAUAGAUAGAUAGAUAGAUAGAUAGAUUGUCCAUAAGAUAGUUUUCCUUUCCAAACAUGGCCAUAUAGCUGCAGUUUGUUAUGUCAGAGAUGGUUUCUAAUAAUGAAAUAGUAUAUAUAUAUAUAUAUAUAUAUAUUAGAGAUAAUAAUGUCUUAAUGAAGCCCUUUGAGAAAGUCUUCUCUGUCUCAGCUGAUGGGUUUGUACAUGGGCAUGGGUAUGUGGUUGUGUUGUUGUGAUGAGUUUGUGUGUUUGAGAGAGCAUAUCGUGUUGACAGGUUUACGAGAGAGAGAGAGAGAGAGAGAGAGAGAGAGAGAGAGAGAGAGAGAGAGAGAGAGAGAGAGAGAGAGAGAGAGAGAGAGAGAGAGAGAGAGCAGAAAUAGCUUGUUUUUGUAUCAUUCUAACCAGUGGUUUCUCUGACUUUAUGAGAUUGUUUUUGAUAGUUAUACAGAGGACAGAAUGAGGAUAUAUAUGAACCAUAAAACGUGGAAUGUUUAGAUGUUUUGAUAAAUAAGAAGAGAAUCGAUACUAUAGCCUGGUGUCACAACAGAAGAGAAUCGAUACUAUAGCCUGGUGUCACAACAGAAGAGAAUCGAUACUAUAGCCUGGUGUCACAACAGAAGAGAAUCGAUACUAUAGCCUGGUGUCACAACAGAAGAGAAUCGAUACUAUAGCCUGGUGUCACAACAGAAGAGAAUCGAUACUAUAGCCUGGUGCCAGAUCUAUUUGUGCUGUAUACAGACACAUCCAUGACAAGGUCCAUGUGAGUUGGCAAGACAGCACCAACAGAUCUGGGACCAGGCUAAACUGACGCAGUCUUUGUUUUUCACCUCAGUCCCCAAACUAGUGACCAACAUUGUGUUCAAUGGAUGGAUGGAUGAAUUCAAAUGAUUAUUGUCUUCUUCUUUGUUGUCUGAAAGAAACAUUCAGUGGUAUAGCUUGACUUCAGUGCAGUAACACCAGACAGACCAGAUAUAAUGUGAUGUGUGAUCUGUUUGUGUUGGCCAACUCUGUGGUAAUGACCAUAGGAGCUGGUAAGAUAGCACAUAGUUACAUUGAUCCCCCCCCAAUGAAUGAGAGAUCACGGUGAAUUGGAGCACGUUUAUUGAUCUGCACCAUUGAGCAUUGAUUACAUUUACAUUUUAGUAGACACUCUUAUCCAGAGCGACUUACAGUACUGAAUGCAUACAUUUCAUACAUUUCUUUCUCCGUACCGGUCCCUCGUGGGAAUCGAACCCACAACCCUGGCGUUGCAAACACCAUGCUCUACCAACUGAGCCACACAGGAAGAUGAUGAGUGUCUGCUCGAGCUACAGUACAUCCGCAGACGACAGGACCAUUGACUGACUGUCUGCACCAAUGAAUGGACAAAGCCAUUGAUCGCGUGACACCACUAAUUCCUCUGUGAAGACUCAGUGGCGAAUUGAAGCCUAAUUAAUUCGGAUAAGAUUGCGUCUCACGGAGACAUAACAUGCAGCGCUUUGAGCUACUCCAGAAUGUGACGUUGCAGGCUAGCUCAGCGCUGCCCCCUUCUCAUUGAGUAACUCGCGUUGAAGGCCGACCGGGGUACUGCAGUCUUCCAUUAGCAACUAAUCCUUAUCCUGCGAUAGAAAAAAAUGAUUGGUUUCGAGGACAUAUAUCUGGUGUUUUAAAAGCAAUUAUUGGUAGCGUGACUGUCUUCGAAAAUUGUGUUUAAUUACACGAAGAUUGACCAUGAAGAUCAAACUAAUGUCCAUUUAAGGAAUCCUGUUUUUGCAAACAAUUCCUGCAGUACCACAGUCUGCCUUGAACUUCCGUGGCUUUAAUAAUGAGAGUGGGUAACGGGGCGUCGUAAGGAUUGGACCAAGGUGCAGCGGGAACGUGUAAUACUCAUCUUCUUUAUUACAUCAAAAGAAGGAAAAAACAAACGAAACACGUAUACAAAACAACAAACGACACUAAACAGUCCUGUCAGGUGCUCAGACACUAAACAGUCCUGUCAGGUGCUCAGACACUAAACAGUCCUGUCAGGUGCUCAGACACUAAACAGUCCUGUCAGGUGCUCAGACACUAAACAGUCCUGUCAGGUGCUCAGACACUAAACAGUCCUGUCAGGUGCUCAGACACUAAACAGUCCUGUCAGGUGCUCAGACACUAAACAGUCCUGUCAGGUGCUCAGACACUAAACAGGAGACAACUACCCACAAAUCCCAUAGGAAAAAACACCCCCUCUUAAAUAAGACCUUCAAUUAGAAGCAACGAGGAGCAGCUGCUUCCAAUUGAAGGUCAACCCCAUUAACUAAACAUAGACAUAGAAAGACUAGAACUAACAUAGAAAUAUACUAACAAGAACAUAGCCCAACAAACCCCAAAACACUCUAAACAAACACCCCUCUUACAUAAUAACAUAGCCCAACAAACCGCGAACCACAUAAAACCAACACCCCCUGCCACGUCCUGACCAAACUACAAUAACAAAUAACCCCUUAUACUGGUCAGGACGUGACAGAGUGGGAAGUCGUUCUCAUCCGAUGGCUGCCAUGUUUUUGGACGACGUGAGUGAUGUCAUCACUUUACCAUGGUUACCGUUACAACAUGCCUUACAGUACUCAGUCUUAUAACUACACGAGAGAAUGUCCGUCUUUACCAUGACAGGACAGUAUGAUGGAUGAAAUUAUUUCUCCAAUAGAAAUCCCCGAUAAUGCUUGUAGGCGAUGUCAUGGCAACGUUGGCUAGCUAAGCUCAUGUGCAGAAACACGUUGUCCUGAACUGCCCAUGUGCAGAACACAUCAUCAGGUCUAACGGUCAUCCUGAACUGCCCAUGUGCAGAACACGUCAUCAGGUCUAACAGUCGCUCUGAACUGCCCAUGUGCAGAACACGUCAUCAGGUCUAACGGUCAUCCUGAACUGCCCAUGUGCAGAACACGUCAUCAGGUCUAACGGUCAUCCUGAACUGCCCAUGUGCAGAACACAUCAUCAGGUCUAACGGUCAUCCUGAACUGCCCAUGUGCAGAACACGUCAUCAGGUCUAACGGUUGUCCUGAACUGCCCAUGUGCAGAACACGUCAUCAGGUCUAACGGUCGUCCUGAACUGCCCAUGUGCAGAACACGUCAUCAGGUCUAACGGUUGUCCUGAACUGCCCAUGUGCAGAACACGUCAUCAGGUCUAACGGUUGUCCUGAACUGCCCAUGUGCAGAACACGUCAUCAGGUCUAACGGUUGUCCUGAACUGCCCAUGUGCAGAACACAUCAUCAGGUCUAACGGUCAUCCUGAACUGCCCAUGUGCAGAACACGUCAUCAGGUCUAACGGUCGCUCUGAACUGCCCAUGUGCAGAACACGUCAUCAGGUCUAACGGUCGUCCUGAACUGCCCAUGUGCAGAACACGUCAUCAGGUCUAACGGUCGCUCUGAACUACCCAUGUGCAGAACACGUCAUCAGGUCUAACGGUCAUCCUGAACUGCCCAUGUGCAGAACACAUCAUCAGGUCUAACGGUUGUCUCGUCCUGAACUGCCCAUGUGCAGAACACGUCAUCAGGUCCCAACCCCCUCCAUCCAACCUGUCUCCACUCCCAACCUCCCAUCCCCCCAACCCCUCCAGCCAACCUGUCUCCACUCCCAACCUCCCAUCCCCCCCAACCCCCUCCAGC
rnacentral:lncRNA from 1 species